AGCGUCCAGAAACGGCAACCGGGACGAACGUUCCGCACACAGACGGGAGUUGUACGAGCGGCAGUGCUGCAGGGCGGCAACGUAAACGUCAUCACCGAGCCUGGAAUAUCAAUGGGGCACAUCAAUGGGGCAAUCAGUGGGGCACAAUGGGACUCAAUGGUGCUGCAAAGCGUCCAGGUAAACGUCAUCACCCAGCCUGAAAGAUCAAUGGGGCACAAAUCAAUGGGGCACAAUGGGGUGAUCAAUGGGGCAAUCAGUGGGGCACAAUGGGGAUCAAUGGGGCAAUCAAUAGGGAUGAAUGGGGAUCAAUAGAGAUGAAUGGGACUCAAUGGGACUCAAUGGGGCUCAGUGGGACUCAAUGGGGCACAGCAAUGGGGCUCAAAGGGGAUCAAUGGGGGUGAAUGGGGAUGAAUGGGACUCAAUGGGGCUCAAUGGAGAUGAAUGGGACUCAAUGGGGCUCAAUGGGGAUGAAUGGGGAUGAAUGGGGCUCAAUGGGAAUCAAUAGGGAUGAAUAGGGAUCAAUAGAGAUCAAUGGGACUCAAUGGUGCUGCAGAGCGGCAACGUAAACCUCAUCGCCCAGCCUACAAUAGCAAAUCAAUGGGACACAUCAAUCAAUGGGGAUCAAUGGGGAUCAAUGGGACUCAAUGGGGAUCAAUGGGGAUCAAUGGGGAUCAAUGGGGAUCAAUGGGACUCAAUGGGGAUCAAUGGGGAUCAAUGGGACUCAAUGGUGCUGCAGAGCGGCAACAUAAACCUCAUCGCCCAGCCUGAAAGGAGAUCAAUGGGGAUCAAUGGGACUCAAUGGGGAUCAAUGGGACUCAAUGGGACUCAAUGGUGCUGCAAGGCGGCAACGUAAACGUCAUCGCCCAGCCUACAAUCAAUGGAGAUCAAUGGAGAUCAAUGGGGAUCAAUGGGGCAAUCAGUGGGGUAAUCAAUGGGGCACAAUGGGACUCAAUGGGACUCAAUGGGGAUCAAUGGGACUCAAUGGUGCUGCAAGGCGGCAACGUAAACAUCAUCACCGAGCCUACAAUAGCAAUGGGACACAUCAAUCAAUGGGGCACAAUGGGGAUCAAUGGGGAUCAAUGGGGAUCAAUGGGACUCAAUGGGGAUCAAUGGGGAUCAAUGGGGAUCAAUGGGACUCAAUGGGGAUCAAUGGGGAUCAAUGGGACUCAAUGGGAAUCAAUGGGACUCAAUGGGGAUCAAUGGGACUCAAUGGGACUCAAUGGGACUCAAUGGGGAUCAAUGGGGAUCAAUGGGACUCAAUGGGGAUCAAUGGGACUCAAUGGGGAUCAAUGGGACUCAAUGGUGCUGCAGGGCGGCAACGUAAACCUCAUCGCCAAGCCUGAAAGGGGAUCAAUGGGGCACAUCAAUGGGGCACAAUGGGGCACAAUGGGGAUCAAUGGGACUCAAUGGUGCUGCAGGGCGGCAACGUAAACCUCAUCACCCAGCCUAGAAUAUCAAUGGGACACAAUGGGGAUCAAUGGGGCACAUCAAUGGGGCACAAUGGGACUCAAUGGGGAUCAAUGGGGCACAAUGGGACUCAAUGGUGCUGCAGAGCGGCAACUUAAACCUCAUCGCCCAGCCUGCAAUCAAUAGGGAUCAAUGGGACUCAAUGGGGAUCAAUGGGACUCAAUGGUGCUGCAAAGCGGCAACGUAAACCUCAUCGCCCAGCCUGGAAUAUCAAUGGGGAUCAAUGGGGCACAUCAAUGGGGCAAUCAGUGGGGUAAUCAAUGGGGCACAAUGGGACUCAAUGGUGCUGCAGGGCGGCAACGUAAACCUCAUCGCCCAGCCUGGAAUAGCAAUGGGGAUCAAUGGGACUCAAUGGGGCAAUCAGUGGGACUCAAUGGGACUCAAUGGGACUCAAUGGUGCUGCAGGGCGGCAACGUAAACCUCAUCACCCAGCCUGGAAUCAAUGGGAAUCAAUGGGGCACAUCAAUCAAUGGGGCACAUCAAUCAGUGGGGCACAAUGGGGCACAAUGGGGAUCAAUGGGGCACAAUGGGGCACAAUGGGGAUCAAUGGGGCAAUCAAUGGGGAUCAAUGGGACUCAAUGGUGCUGCAGCGCGUCAAGGUAAAGGUCAUCGCCCAGCCUGGAAUCAAUGGGGCACAUCAAUCAAUGGGGCGAUCAGUGGGGCACAUCAAUGGGGAUCAAUGGGGCACAAUGGGGCACAUCAAUGGGGAUCAAUGGGGAUCAAUGGGACUCAAUGGGGCUGCAGGGCGUCACGGUAAAAGUCCUCACCCAGCCUGAAAUCAAUGGGGCACAAUGGGGAUCAAUGGGGUAAUCAAUGGGGCACAAUGGGGAUCAAUGGGGCACAAUGGGGCGAUCAAUGGGACUCAGUGGGGCUCAGUGGGAAUCAAUGGGGCACAAUGGGGAUCAAUGGGACUCAAUGGUGCUGCAGCGCGGCAACGUAAACCUCAUCGCCCAGCCUGAAAGCA
ensembl:lncRNA